rnacentral:misc_RNA from 1 species
CACCCCCCAAGCCUUGCUUGAUGUUGGGCCAUGACGUGCUGUCAAGCCCCAAACCUUUAGGCGCCCCCCACUGGCCGCGAGCGUAGCAAGAAUUUUUUUUCCCUCGCUUCGCGUGUCCGAUGGGUGGGUCGCCGAUCGACCCCCAAUUUUACAAG